ACUGGAGAUCUAUCAUAGGAAUAUUGUAAAAAUAAAACCAGAUCGGACAUACAUACAGCAAUAAAUCGUGGUGAAGUUCAAAAUUAGAAUUUAUUUAAUUUUAGUAGACUCAUUUUACUGCACAAGGCGCAAAGAAUAGGCGGGUUUACCGGCGCGGAUUCUAUACGUCGCGAACUGCAUGAGCUGAGGGCAGUCGGCCGUCCGGACGGCUGGUGGCAUGGAAGAGUCUCGGGACGGCUCCACCGCAGCCUCGGACGGUGCAAAGAGGAUCUUCAUGGUCCACGUAGACUAUUGAUACGUAUGACCGGAGCAUGGUCGUCGGUUCACGGACCUCAAGCUGGGUGUGCUCGAGAGAUGGCCGUUCGCCGAUGUCUCCGGUUCCUUUUCUGUCCAAGGCAAAGAUUCGUUCGAGAUAUUUGUGAAUGGCGAACUUCUGUAUUCUAAACUAGAGACUAAAGAAUUUCCCCAAGAAACACUGAUGCUAAGACGAAUCCACGACAAAGUCAAGAAGAGACAAGUCGAAAAGCCGCGCGGAUCAUCUUCCUUUUGUACACUAUUGUAAAACUGUUUAUUUGAAGUGGCAUGUUUCCACAUUUUAUUAAAUGAAUCCAUGCAUGCAAAUAUAUACAUGUAGGAUAAAUGCACCUAUCAAUGUUUGGCCUAACUGGGACGGGUAGGGACACAUUUACAUAGGAUACUUUAGACAUUGAGUGAUUCUCGACGGAUGUUUUUUAAGACCCGUUGACUUGAACUGCCACUCGGGAGAUAGUCUUGGCCGUCUGUUUCCUAAAGGGUAUUUGAUACUGGGAGCAAAUCCAAUCCCAGGGAUUUUGACAAAUUUCUUUGCUCAAUGGGUGGGUAAGCAAUGCCAAAGCGAUGUUGUAGAAUCAGGCGGCGUUGGUGCUAAUUAGCUGUGUCAGUGUACUUCACAAGGCCACAUUAUUAGAAAAUAUUAAAUUUAGCUACGUGGUCACAAAUUCCACAGUUAUCAAAAUAUCGCUAUUUUUUUCUGUACAUAAAUCAUGUGCUUUUUAGUUUUGAUCACUAAAAACAUAGAGGAUAAUUGUUUGUUUCAGUGUAAGAUCGUAAUAUAUUUCACCGAGUGAGCACCAAUAUUUAUAUAAAAAAAUAAUUCGCUGUUGGUGUUCUUUUAGACACAGUGAAACAUCAAUAUUUCAGUGAUAAAUCUCUUUAAACCACCCGGAAAGCAUAUAAUAAAAUAAGUUGAACAUGAAUAUGCAUUAAAAUUAAAAAAAAGUAUCAACCUACAAUGUGCACCUUUAAGCAACAGUAUCUAAACCGUGAACUCAUGAAGUACACUGACGAAGAUAAUUGACCGUGAACUCAUGAAGUACACUGACGAAGAUAAUUGACCGUGAACUCAUGAAGUACACUGACGAAGAUAAUUGACCGUGAACUCAUGAAGUACACUGACGAAGAUAAUUGACCGUGAACUCAUGAAGUACACUGACGAAGAUAAUUAACUCCAAAGCCACCAGAUUUUACAGCUUCGCGGAAUAGUACGCAUGAACCUUUAGCAAACUGUUCAAAUUAAAUAUUAAGUAUAAAUUGAUAUUUUCACACGUCCAUGGGCGACCUGUUAUGUAAGUUAUAUGGCCGCGAAAGGUUUAUGCAUUGCGUAUACUAUAGAAUAGAAUUAAUUAAAGUAAAUAAAAAAUGUUCUUAGCUCUAUCGGUCAACUUGACAUAUUAAAAAUGAAACAUUUUAUUUAACCCUUAAAAAUAUUUUUCAAUAAAUCUAUUCAAUUUCAUACUCUUUCAAUCAGCUAUGAUUCGAACUCUCUAUUCAGUUCAACUUAUUUCAAAGCAUUUAUUUGCUAUAGAUUCCUAGAGAACAUAUUUUCAGGUUGUGAAAACCCCGUGGUUGAUAUCACGCCCCAGGAGUGACAAAACAUUGAUAGGUGUAAAAGUAUAUUUUCGUAAAAUACCCAUGUGUGACCCAUUUCGUUACUCUCCUUACGUGAAAUUAAGUGUAACGGUAUGGGUCCAUGAGGUCUGUCGUGCGCUUCUGACGAUAAAAGUAACUGCGCAUUCAAGAACAUACUGAUUCUAAUGAGAACUCUUUAUAAAUAAUUUAUUUCUAAAUAAUGCCACCUGUUAAGGGGAGUUACCCCCUCUACAUCACAGUUGUCUUGAUAUGAUAUAUAA